CUUCCCCUCUCUCUCUCCUCCAAGUUUUUCCCCUCGUCUCUCUCUCUCUCUCCCUUUCGCAUCCGUUAGGGUUUCACCUCGAAGGCUCGAAAGCCCAACCUACGGUCCGCAAGAACCUCUCCGCCGGUUCUUGCUGGAAUUCUUUUCGGGAUCUAGGGUUUUCGGGAUGGGGUGAAGGAGGUAGGGCGACCGAUAGAUCUCUGGUCUGCGCGCCCCUCGAAGAUGGACGAUAGAGAGGAUCUUCCGGGGACCAGCGAGGCUGGGGGAGCCAGAUUCCACGUCCUCCAGCCCAACCGUGACCUGCAAUCGAAUUGGGAAGUCGAUCUUGCCAAGAAUCUUGAAGAGUACCUACUGAUGAUUUGCUCCGGCGAGAUACCGUCCGACCAAGACCACGCGCUCCAUUCUGUGAACUUUGCAGAAGCUGCGCUGCUGCUCCAAGGUUCAGUUCAGGUGUAUAGCCGCAAAGUAGAGUAUUUGUAUUCACUGGUAUUGCAUGCGCUGGAGUUUCUUUCACUGAAGAGGCAAUAUCAACAAGAAAAUGCUUCCAUUCAUCCUGAUGGUGAAUCUGGUGCAGUUAUCAAUGAAGGGAAUGAGAUAUUUUUGGGGUUAGAUGAUGUGCCUGUUGAAGCAAAGAAUUGUUUGGAUGGUGGGCUUGAUAAAGAUGACACUUCAAAGCAUGUUCCGAAGCCUCCUGCCAAUUUGCUUGUACUAGAAGGAGAUUGUUUAGAUACCAGUGGUGAUGCUAGUGAAUUAGAAUCAUAUCUGUUAGCAACCUGUGAUUGUUUCAGCGAUUUUCUUCUGUUGGACCCCUGCGAUGCAGGAGCUGUUUAUGAUUUUUUAAAGACAAAUGCUGCUGGUAAAGAAAACAUUGCACUUCACAGAGGCAGCUCGAUCAGGUCUAAAACUCGCCACAAUAUUUUAACUUCUCCAACAGGAAGAUUUGGGGCAACUGCUCAUAAAUCAAGUAUUGGGAAGAACCAAGGCGUCAAUCUAAAUCCAACUAUGGAGAAUAACCAUGCAUUUGAAAUUAACAAUGAUAAUCAUCGGUCCGGACCUCAUGUUGACACUGAUCAUCCCGAUGAUGAUAUGUGCCAUGUAGAGAAACCAAAUUUAGGAUUUUCAGAUGUUAUGGAUGAUUCUGAUGAUAAUAAUGAUGAUCCAUGGAAGCCUCUAAAUCCUCAUGAACCUGGGAACUUGAAAGUAAAACCAUUCAGAAAAAUUAAGGGUUUUGGAAGGCAGGUGGUUCAUAAUGCCAAGAAAAACACUUCAACUUCUCAGUUUCCUAUUGCAAAACUGGACGGUAUCAUUGGCCAAGAGUUUGAAGCAUCAUUUGAAGUAAAACUCCGUUUGCAAGAAAGGCUACGUGCAUCUCGGUCCCCGCCCCUCUUUGAAAAGCUAAGAAGAUCACUUACUUUUGGAGAACAAGAAACUUAUGAUAACUUUGCUGUUUUUGAGGAUGAAAAUGAUGAUAAUGGAGGGGAAAAUCACCCUCUCGAUUUUGAUCAUUCAAACCUUGAUCUGCCAAACAUUAUGUAUGAUAUGGACACAGAAGCACCAUUUCGCCAUAGGAAGGUUCGUCAGAGUGAUGAUGCUUCGACUUGUGAUCAUGGUGAAGGCCUUACACAGGAUGAUCUAGAUUCUCAUGCAACCCUUGAAGAUUUGUGUCGCUCACAUCUGGAUGCCCUUCUUGCUAGCAUAGCUGAAACAGAGAAGCAGACAGAUUUGGCAGCACGGGUUUCAACAUGGAAACAAAGGAUUGAACACACCCUGGAAGAUCAAGAUACACACCCUCCUUUUGACAUACACUUAUAUGGUGAGAGAAUCAUGGACAAACUUUGCUUGGAAGUGGACAGUGGAGGAACCAUGCCUUUUACAGAUAUUGUGAUGGGCCAAACAAAGCAUGAUGUUGCAAGGACAUUUUCUGCACUUCUGCAGCUGGUGAACAAUGGGAGCGUUGAUCUGCAAAGAGAUCCAGGAAGCAAUGAGUUUGUUUGUCACACAGCUGUGAAUCCCUUCCACGUUAGACUUCUUUGUGAUGACAGAAGAAGAAAAGAAAUGGAGAACCGUUCGGCGAGGAAGAGAGUUAAGUCCCCUUUGAGGAAAAAGUGCAUAAAAUCAAAUUCCUCCACCUCAGAGGCCACCUCACCUUUAAAAUCAUUGCAUCAGAAUGGCAGGUUCUCUCUUAAGCUUGGGAAGGGCAGUGUUAUCAGGUGCACUCCUGAGGGGAAGAGAAGGAGGUCUUCUCGGUUUAUAGAUCAGUUGGAUUUGCAAUCUGCUGGUUGACAUAAAACAACUAGUUUUUAAUUUGAGGAUGUUGUAACAUGGCUGCUGAAUGGUCUGGAGGUCAUAUAGCAGUGCCAUACUCGUAUAACUCAGUGUACCAGUUCCCUCUAACAAGUUGGCAGGUGACAACACUUUAAUUUAUGGCUUAGGUCUAAGCAGAUAUUGUCUAAAGGAUGAAACACUUCUAGCUGCAUGGAUGACUUCUCCACAAGGUAAGAGUUGCGUUCCAAGUGAGUUCUCUCUUGCGCUUACAACAUCUAUAUGACUUGUCAAUGUGGGUAAAAAAAUGUUUAAUAUUUUUUUUUCUUUUCUGGUACCAUUAAUGCUUAUUAAAGAGCAAGGAGUAAUAUAUUGAUGUCCAUGAUUCCUUGAACUUUUAAAAUGUCCAA